CUAAAGCCGGAACAAUUUAUGAUGAAUAACCUUACUUUUCUUUUUUUUUCUUUUGCAAACUUUAAGACGAAAAUAUUCAAUUUAACAGAGUGAUGAUAAUAAAAUUGAGAAAAUCUUAACACAAGUUUAAAUUCUUUGAGAAUCAACAAUUGAACAUACUUCACACCAAGAAAGAACUACUACAUCUCAAAGGCAGAAAAAGAACUAUAUCAUCCAAAAAUUCAUCCUAAUAAAGUCUCUCGAUGCCCCUCUCGUACGGACAAUUAAUUCAUUGACAAAAUGUCGAUAAAUACAGCCAAUUCCAUAACAUAUUUCAGUCAUACGACAACGAAAUGUAGGCGAAUAAAUUCCACCACCCAAAUUUCUAUUUGAAUUUAUCGAAAUAUAACAUUCGUCAACACUAAUUUUCGAACUCUCCGAGAAUUUGGAUUGUGUGACGUUAGAAGCAUGCGCCUCUCGAAUUUCCA
rnacentral:lncRNA from 1 species